GUCGAACGAGAAUCCACGGCUUCGGCGGUGGAGGAGAGUGGCGCACGGGUGCGUAACACGUAGCUGACCUGGCCUUCGCAGGGGGAUAACACAGCGAAAGUUGUGCUAAUACCGCGUAGGCUGGUGGCGGUUAGAGAGCCAUCAGUAAAGCUUUAUGCGGCGAAGGAGGGGGCUGCGGUCCAUCAGCCAGCUGGUGAGGUAACGGCUCACCAGGGCGACGACGGAUAGGGGGCCUGAGAGGGUGACCCCCCAGACUGUAACUGAGACACGGUCCAGACUCCUACGGGAGGCAGCAGUAAGGAAUAUUGCACAAUGGGCGCAAGCCUGAUGCAGCAACGCCGCGUGAGGGAUGAAGGGUUUCGGCUCGUAAACCUCUUUUCUGUGUGAAGAGCACGGACGGUAGCACAGGAAUAAGUCUCGGCUAACUACGUGCCAGCAGCCGCGGUAAAACGUAGGAGGCGAGCGUUAUCCGGAAUUACUGGGCGUAAAGCGCACGUAGGCGGCGCUGCAAGUGGUGCGUGAAAGCUCCCGGCUCAACUGGGAGAGGCCGUACCAAACUGCGGUGCUAGAGACAGAUAGAGGUCGACAGAAUUCCGGGUGGAGUGGUGAAAUGCGUAGAGAUCCGGAGGAAUACCAGAGGCGAAGGCGCUCGUCUGGGUCUGUUCUGACGCUGAGGUGCGAAAGUUUGUGGGUCGAACGGGAUUAGAUACCCCGGUAGUCCACACCGUUUACGAUGCAUACUAGUUGUUAGGUGCUUACGGGCGCUGAGUGACGAAGCCAACGCGUUAAGUAUGCCGCCUGGGGAGUACGGUCGCAAGGCUAAAACUCAAAGGAAUUGACGGGGGCCCGCACAAGCAGCGGAGCGUGUGGUUUAAUUCGAGGCUACGCGAAGAACCUUACCUGGGCUUGACAUGGUAGUAGUACCCUGGUGGAAACACCGGGGGACCUUCGGGAGCUAUCACAGGUGCUGCAUGGCUGUCGUCAGCUCGUGCCGUGAGGUGUUCGGUUAAGUCCGAAAACGAGCGCAACCCCUGGCGUUAGUUACAAGUGUCUAACGCGACUGCCCGGGGAAACUGGGAGGAAGGUGGGGAUGACGUCAAGUCAGCAUGGCCUUUAUGUCCAGGGCGACACACACGCUACAAUGGCCGGUACAAUAGGCAGCCAAGCCGCGAGGUGGACCGAAUCCAACUAAACCGGUCUCAGUUCAGAUUGUAGGCUGCAACUCGCCUGCAUGAAGUCGGAGUUGCUAGUAAACGCGGAUCAGCCACGCCGCGUUGAUACGUUCCCGGGCCUUGUACACACCGCCCGUCACGUCAUGGAAGCUGGUCACGCCUGAAGUCGGUGAGCGAACCGAAAG
rnacentral:rRNA from 1 species